GAAUAAAUAUAACUUGCUCACUUGAUAUGGAUUGUCAAUCAUUGGUUUUCCUCGACAGCACUCGUGAAGUACAAUAUGUCAUGCACAAAGAAUGAAGCAGGAAGUAGAUGACACAAAUAGAAUGCGAUUUUAGUGGGUGCUCUUGGAUUGAUGACCUGCUUCCGAAUGAUGGAAUUGACGAAGGUGGAGUAAUCAAUAACCGAAGGACAAGACAAGAAUUGUGAAGCAGGUAAUGCACAGUGAUUUUGUAACAAAGUAUCGAGUAUGGCGCAGUCGAGGACAUUGCGGGGUGAAUCAGUGGCAUUGACACCAAUAGCGACCGGCCACAACAUUGGUCCAGUUCGUG
rnacentral:lncRNA from 1 species